AACGUAGGUUCCGAGCGUUAUCCGGAUUUACUGGGCGUAAAGCGCGUUCAGGCGGUUCGGCAAGUCGGGCAUGAAAUCUCUCGGCUCAACCGGGAGAGGUUGUCCGAUACUGCUGGACUUGAGGGCAGUAGAGGGUGGUGGAAUUCCGGGUGUAGUGGUGAAAUGCGUAGAUAUCUGGAGGAACACCGGUGGCGAAGGCGGCAUCCUGGACCAAUACUGACGCUGAGGAGCGAAAGCCAGGGGAGCAAACGGG
rnacentral:rRNA from 1 species